AUUUUGUAUCCUGUGCGUGGGCUGGACUGGUAGGAAAUAUCGGGAAAUAUCCCGAAAAAUCGGUAAAAUACCUAUAAAUACCGAAAUAUUGGCGAUAUUUUCGAAAAUUUUCCGAAAUUUCCAUAGACCGAUAACCUGUGACGAAUAUUGUGUAUUUUUCGACAUUUCAAUCCUGGCAGCUAGGUGGGUAAAGGUAAUUUUCCGUCUUUACUUCUUGGUGGGUAAAAGUUGUUUUCUAUAUUUACUUCUACCUGUUUCUCUGUUGCCGGUCAGAACACUUGCAGGGGAAUCAAGUUGGGCUUUAAAUAACAGAGUUGAUGAGGACUUCAAGCUGCAUGCUCAAAUUCUCACAUUUUGCCCUCCUCUCCUCCUAUAAAUAGAGGAGGGAGAGCGACCUCAAUAUUCCACCCAACUGCAAUUCAUUUGCAUAAUGUUGGCCUUCUCAAGCAGAGGGUGGCACCGAUGAUGAGGAAAUGAACUAUUUAUUUAAGAAAGAAGUAUGUGUUAACAUCGGAGUUCAAGAAAAAGCCCCUGGGGAAGUAGGAGAAAGAGUCAUGUGAACAUAUCUCCUACGGUGGAUAGUAUUAGCUUCAUUCUCUAUUAUUUCUGCUCUUUCACUCAUUGCUUCUGUUAUUGUUUGUUUCUUGAUUUUGCAGUGUGAUAGGUGCGAGCAGGGGAUUAUCUCACUGGUCCCGGACAUGGACGCCCACUGAGGGGAGAUGAUUUUAUAGACGUGCAUGGUGUUCGAUUGUGAUGGAAUCCUUCGGUGAACUACUCUUUUAACGGUGGAUGGUCCGUCAUAACGGCUGUUAAAAGAGUAGUCCACCGGGAGGAUUCCAUUACAAUCGGACACCAUUAAUGGCACGUCUGUAAAAUCAUCCCCUCAAUGGGCGUCCAUGUCCGGGGCCUAGUGAGAUUGUCCCUUGCCGCUCGCACCUAUCACACUGCAAAACUAAGAAACAAACAAUAACAGAAGUAAUGUUGUCGUUGAUGGGGAGUAUAUUGAAAUCAACCUGCGAGAAGCCAAGUUCGAACCAACAAUGGAUGACAGAAUGCUUGGUUUUUAGUUUAGGCAAUUUCUGAUUGUUUUCAGUUAACUAGGUCGUUUAUGUUUUUCCUUUCUGUUCCCUCUCUGUUUGUAAUCCCUUUUCUAUCAUCAGUAUCAAACGUUUCGUCGUUCCAACCCAA